AACAUUAUGCAGCAUGCCCAAAAAACAAGCUUAUUUUUAGAUUACUACAGGCUUGAACUUGGGCUGACAUAACAAGACGCUGCCGAUUACAGCAAGGUUAUUUCCUGAAGAUAAUUGGCCACAGCAUAGAGUCUUCAUGAAAGCACUUCACAUUUGCAUGGAGAACAUCAGCCAGCUGCAAGACUCAGUGAUUUGAAAUGAAGUGCCGUCAGUCAUCCCUUGUACAGCUACUUCUCUGAAGUAACUCCAGUUCCAGUAGAUGUCAUUUCCUCCACAUAUCUCUGCCUGAAAAGUCUGAUGAGGCUGUCACCAGAAAACUUCAGGAACUGAUAGUCCAGGUCCUCAAAAAUGGAUCUGAAAAGGAGAGCUAAAGACAAAGGAGCAAUACUGACAGAAAAACAUGAUGAAGAAUUCUCUCCAAAGAUGUUUGCAAGACAGACUCCCAGUAGUUUUGAAUAGCUCUAGUCACUUGUACAUGUACAACCUAGAAGAAAGGAAGGAUUUAUCAAGCCGACAUCAGCCUCCUUGGUCAGAGAGCAGAGAUCUAUCAAUUUCUAUCUCUUGGCUAGUCGUUGUAAUAAAUAUAGGCUUGGUGUAUAAUGAAAACCAGCUGAGUGUUUCUCAAGGUACAUGCAACACAGAAACUGCAUUUGAAAUCUCAGAAAAUCUGCUGAACUUUCAGCCCUUUUUGUGUCUCUGUCUCUUCUUUUCACAUACACGCACAAACACACACCCCUUGGCAAACUUCAACCAGGAAAUAAAGAAAAGUGCUUUAAGAAAGCAGAUAUUACUGCAUUGUUAUUCUGGCCAACAUUCUGAAGAGCAUGCAAAAAAAAUACAAGUUGUGCCUUUUAUGCAUUUGUAUUGCAAACUAAUGUUAAAGAAUAAAAAAGGCUGAACCCUCUUUAUCCAUCAUGAUGAGUUGAAGGUAAGGUCAUUGCU